rnacentral:rRNA from 1 species
GUGAAGCGGCAACAGCUCAAAUUUGAAAUCUGGCGCAAGCCCGAGUUGUAAUUUGUAGAGGAUGCUUCUGGGCAGCGGCCGUUCUAAGUUCCUUGGAACAGGACGUCAUAGAGGGUGAGAAUCCCGUAUGUGACCGGCACGUACCCUCCACGUAGCUCCUUCGACGAGUCGAGUUGUUUGGGAAUGCAGCUCUAAAUGGGAGGUAAAUUUCUUCUAAAGCUAAAUACCGGCCAGAGACCGAUAGCGCACAAGUAGAGUGAUCGAAAGAUGAAAAGCACUUUGGAAAGAGAGUUAAAAAGCACGUGAAAUUGUUGAAAGGGAAGCGCUCACAACCAGACUUCGUGGCGGUGUUCCGCCGGUCUUCUGACCGGUCUACUCGCCGCCGCGAGGCCAGCAUCGUCUGGGGCCGCCGGAUAAGACCUUGGGAAUGUAGCUUGCCUCGGUAAGUGUUAUAGCCCAUGGUGAUGCGGCGUGCCUCGGGCGAGGUCCGCGCUUCGGCAAGGAUGCUGGCGUAAUGGUUGUCAGCGGCCCGUCUUGAAACACGGACCAAGGAGUCUAACAUCUAUG